rnacentral:lncRNA from 1 species
AAUUUCUCUUUGUUGGAAGGCUUAACACUAUCAUCGGCGGCCACGCCGGGAGGGACGCCUAUUAAAAAGAAGUACAAGAGUCGUCCGGAAUGCUUUCCUCGAACGUUUUCACUUUGGAAUCUGCAACAUGUGUUUUGAAUAAAUGAGUAUCUAGGAGACAUAAUGUCUUGGACUGUGAAAACCAAUUAAAAACAAUUUUCAUCGAUUAAAACUUGCCUUUGCCAAUGAUUCCUCGUCACUGUCACUGUCCUCGUCCUCGUCCUCGUCGUGGGGACUAGACUUGAUAGUAAGAAUCUUCUGUUGAGAAACUCUCAAAUAGUUAGACAAUGAAAAAUGCAAACUGAUAGAAUCAAUCAAUCAAGCAAGAGAGAUGAUGAGGGACGAACUUACUCGUCGUUUAUGUUCUUCAGAGGAGAGAUGUCUGGUGAAAUCUGUAACGCUUAGGUAAGUAAAGUAGCAUGCAUC